AUCCAGCUACACCCAACCAUCUGUCAAUCACUCGGCCCACUUCCUGUUUGUUGCAGAGCCCGCCCACCAAGGAAACUACAGCUGUGUUUAUGACGUCCAUGUUUCUGACCAUAACUUCUCCUCUGAGAGCCGCCUGCUGCCUGUCACUGUCUCAGAUCCAACAGCUCGCACCGUCACAGCGGUCGUCCUGCUGCUGAUCCUGCUGUCUGUGAUCGCUGCCCUUUACUUCUACUGGAAGGCCAGCAGGGGGCGGGAGCCAAGCAGACCUGAGAGCAUUGAGCUGGUGUCCAAUAUCUUCUGUGUUUGUUCGGCCGAAGGAGCUCAGGGAGCAGAGGAAGAGCUCCCAGCAGAUCAUCUCACAUCCUAAAGAAUCUCUGAGCUGAGACUCGGCCGACGUCGCGUCAGUGAACACAACUGUUUCCUACUGAACACACAUCAGCCGAGUCAGCAACACACAACCAAUCAGGAAGUGACUGCAACAAUAUUUAAAGAAGAUUAAACUCAGUUAAGUCAUCAUAUAUUCUUUAACCCUGCUGCUGUUAUACCAUGAGCCACGAUGCAAACGAUUUAAUGCCAUAAAAACUUUGUUGCAGAAUCUUUUAUGGCUGCAUUUGUGGCUCUGCAGCUCAUCCAAAGAUCAUUUUCUGGCUUUGGACCAAAGGCAAAACACAAUAAAGCAUUUCCUGUUGUUCCUGCUGGAUUUAAAGAUAUACACUAACCUGCCACUUCAUUAGGUACACCUGUUCAGCUGCUCAUUAACACAAAUAUCUAAUCAGACAUGAGGACGUGGUGGAGACGAGCUGCUGAAGUUCAAACUGAGCGUCAGAAUGUGUUAGAAAAGUGAUUAAAGUGACUGAGCGUGGCGUGGUGGUUGGUCUGAGGACUUCAGCAGCUGCUGGUCCGCAGAGACUUCCUCUCACAAACAUCUCUGAGGUCUACAGAGAAGCUCUGAAACAGAAAACAUCCAGUGAGCAGCAGCUGCCUGGGAGAAAAUGCUGAGGUCAGAGGUCAGAGGAGGAUGGCUUCAAGCUGACAACAGUGACUCACAUAACCUCUCAUUAUAACCAAGAAGAACAUCUGUGAGCACACAGAAGAUCAAACCCUGAAGCACAGCACGCCACAAAGCUCACAUCAUCUCAGGCUGGUUAUUGGAGAUCCGGUUACUCGAGUGGCCUCCACAGCCAGCAGAUCUCAGACCAGCAGAGCACCUUUGGGACGUGAUGGAGCGGGAGACUCUCAUCAUGGAUGCAGCCGACCAAUCAGCAGCAGCUGUGACGCUGCCAUGGCAACAUGGACCGAAGUCUCUGAGGAACGUUUCCAGCACCUUGAAGAAUCUGAGCCAUUAAAGCAGCUCUGAAGGUCCAACCUGCUACUAGCAAGGUGUACCUAAUAAAGUGGCUGGUGAGGUGUGCGUUGAUAUAGUAACACUUAUUUAUCAAAUGUAUCUGCAGAAAUAAAACAUACCAGUCAAAAUAUCUGAAAUACACAUCAUUAGAUGAUAGAUUUUAUUUCAUAUUAAACUGAAUCUGUUCUACUGUAAAUGUGAUUUUUCAUUUUCAUAGAUUUGUUUGGAUGAACUGUGGACAGAAAAGUUGAUCAGACUGAUUAUUGUGUGUUUCCAUGUUAAUCUAUGGUGUAAUCAUAAAGUAAU